CUUUUUUGACCUGAGUUGCAUUAAAUAGUCUCAUACAACUUAGUAGUAUUUGUGGUUCAAAUGGUAAGUGUUAAAUUUGUUUAAAUUUUAAUUGUGG